ensembl:lncRNA
CCGUGAUGCUGUAUAAUAAGAGGUUUGUUAUGUUCAGGUGCAAAAGGUGAGAAGAAGAACAGAAGCAAGCAUUACCACAAACUCAACACACACCCUGCGUGGAGUUCAGGACUUACAUGAGUAUGUGGUAUAGGAGCAUAUAUUCCUCAUCACUAUCACUUUGUGAAUGAGAAUAAAACCUGGAGUGAAGCUCAGAAUUACUGCAGAGAGAAAUACACUGAUCUGGCCUCCAUCAACGACAUGGGAGAGAUGAUGAAGCUGAAUUAUACCCUGAAGAAGGAAACUGUAAAGAAAGCUUGGAUCGGUCUACAGAGAGAGGCAGUGUUCUCUAGCAGACCAAACUUUCUACAGAGACGGAGACACUUACAGAAACUGGCAGAGAGGACAACCAGAGAACUAUGGGGGAAAACAGUACUCUGUUGACAUGGUAAAAAAGACUGGUCUCUGUCUUGAUGACAACUGUGAUAUACUAUUACCUUUUGUGUGUUAUGAAGGUAAGAACUUACUAAUAAAUGUUACUAAAAGGCUAAAUAACACAUAAUGGCUUUAAAAUAAUAAAGAAGAUCUGGAUGAUCUCAGUGCACUGUUAGCCCAGAUUUCAUAUCUACUUAACAAUUUAAUUACAACAUACUUAAAUUAUUUUAGUUUAAGUGCAUUAUCAUUACCAUUUUCUUGUGGUUGGAAGUGAAUUCGAAGAGCUGUUGAUGAGUGGUUAGAAAGUAUGUUUUAGCCACUGUUUAUUGUUUCUAUUUUCCAUUGAGAGGCUGUUUUUAAAAAUAUAGUUUGAAACAAUUUUGGACGUUUGCUCCCGCUUGAACUUGAACCAGACGAGUUCAGGGAACAAUUUUUUGUUUGUCCAUUUUAACUGAAAAAUAUUGUUUGAAAACAUUUUGGAUGUUUUCUUCCGCUUGAACCCCUGCUGGGUGAGUUUGGCGGACAUUUUUUUUUCUGUUAAUUUUUAUUCGUUAUUUUUUCACAAUCGAGGUGCUGUUUGUGAGUAGUAAAAAAAAAAACAACAACAUUGUUUUCAGCUUUUAACUAGCUAGUGUUUCACUCGCGCGCGGUGGACACGAUCCCACUUUAACUUGAAUUUUUUCAUCUGUUCAUUUUUAACAGUGAAAAACAUUGUUUUAAACAAUUUUGGACAUUUUCUCCCGCUUGAUUCCCUACCCGGAGAGUUCAGCAGACAUUUUUUCGUCAAUCUGUUUCUUUCUCUGUUGGGAUGUAACUGACAAGGACUCGUACAGUCAAAGUCCAGUGGGGAUCCUCUGCUUCGAAUCAGAAAGUCCUCAGCUAAACCCAUUCGAAGUGAGCAUCAUCUUGAAGGGAGUUUGGUGAUGGAUGAACUGGCCGACCCGCCUCAGGCCUUCUGUUCUUUUCGAACUGAUUUAUGAAUGAACUAAGUGUAUGAAAAACAGUUUCCACUUUAUUCAGCAGGUAAUGCUCAGCCUGGGAGGUAAGCUGGCACCCAAAAGUCAGUCUUUGAAAAAUCAGCUAACAGUAAAACGGGCCUCCCAAUUGUUAUACUACUGUUCCACUAGCAAGUGGUUCAUUUGUAAUGUUGAAGCACAUCUUUUAUGAUAUUGGCACUGAUUUUGUGGUUUGAUUCAGGUCUUAUUUUCAAUGUUCCUAUUUUAUAGAAAUGUGAAAUUUAUUUUAUUUAUAUAUACAGUGGUACAAUACUGAUGUCUAGUGAACAUUUCAUGUGAAUAGCCUCAUUGGAAAUAUAUUUGCUAAAACAAAUGUUGAUGCCAAUACUUAUUUCAAUACGUCCAAUACUUAUUUCCCUCAGUGUGUGUGUGUGUGUGUGU